rnacentral:misc_RNA from 1 species
UAACCACUCAAGCUCUCGCUUGGUAUUGGGGUUCGCGGUUUCGCGGCUCCUAAAAUCAGUGGCGGUGCCUAUCGGCUCUACGCGUAGUAAUACUCCUCGCGAUUGAGUCCGGUAGGUCUACUUGCCAGCAACCCCUAAUUUUUUAAU